rnacentral:rRNA from 1 species
AGUAACUGCGAGUGAAGCGGGAAAAGCUCAAAUUUAAAAUCUGGCAGAUGUUUGUCUGUCCGAGUUGUAACCUAGAGAAGUGUAACCUGUGCUGGACCGUGUACAAGUCUCCUGGAAUGGAGCAUCAUAGAGGGUGAGAAUCCCGUCUUUGACAUGGACUACCAGUGCACUGUGGUUGCACACUCAACGAGUCGAGUUGUUUGGGAAUGCAGCUCUAAAUGGGUGGUAAAUUCCAUCUAAAGCUAAAUAUUGGCGAGAGACCGAUAGCGAACAAGUACCGUGAGGGAAAGAUGAAAAGAACUUUGGAAAGAGAGUUAAACAGUAUGUGAAAUUGUUGAAAGGGAAACGCUUGAAGUCAGCUGCAUUAGCUGGGGAUCAAGCCAGCUUUUUUGCUGGGUGUACUUCCUGGUUGAUGGGCCAACAUCAGUUCUGACCAUCAGAGAAAGGCUAAGGGAAUGUGGCACCUUUAUAGGUGUGUUAUAGCCCUUGGUUGUAUGUGAUGGUUGGGACUGAGGACAGCAGCGUGCCGCAAGGCCGGGCUUUGACCACGUUCACGCUUUGGAUGUUGGCAUAAUGGCUUUAAGCGACCCGUCUUGAAACACGGACCAAGGAGUCUAACAUGCAUGCGAGUGUUUGGGUGGAAAACUCGAGCGCGUAAUGAAAGUGACAGUUGAGAUCCCUCUCACAGGGGAGCAUCGACGCCCGGACCAGAACUUUUGGGACGGAUCUGCGGUAGAGCAAGCAUGUUGGGACCCGAAAGAUGGUGAACUAUGCCUGAAUAGGGUGAAGCCAGAGGAAACUCUGGUGGAGGCUCGUAGCGAUUCUGACGUGCAAAUCGAUCGUCGAAUUUGGGUAU